rnacentral:rRNA from 1 species
UGCAUCGAUGAAGAACGCAGCGAAAUGCGAUAAGUAAUGUGAAUUGCAGAAUUCAGUGAAUCAUCGAAUCUUUGAACGCACAUUGCGCCCAUUAGUAUUCUAGUGGGCAUGCCUGUUCGAGCGUCAUUUCAACCCUUAAGCCCUAGUUGCUUAGUGUUGGGAACCUACCCUGUAGGUAGUUCCUUAAAUAUAUCGGCGGAGUCGUGAUGACCCUAAGCGUAGUAAUUCUUUCUCGCUUCAGUGGUGUCAGCGCUGACGUUUAGCCGUUAAACCCCCUAUUUUCUAGUGGUUGACCUCGGAUCAGGUAGGAAUACCCGCUAACU